CACACACACACACGGAGCAGUGGGCAGCCAUUUAUGCUGCGGCGCCCGAGGAGCUGCUGGGGGUUCGGUGCCUUGCUCAAUUGCACCUCAGUCGUGGUAUUGCCAACCCGAGACUCGAACCAACAACCUUAGGGUUAGGAGUCAGACUCUCUAACCACUAGGCCAUGACUUCCCCACAUGAAUCCAUGUAGCCUACUACGGAAAAAGUAACAUUUGCAGAAAAAUUCUCUGACUAUACGAGAAAAUAUUCCAGCAUAUUCCAGCACACGAAAAAAGACAGAAACAGUAACGCAAGUAUUAGAAGAUUUAUUGGAAAAAGGUUAGUGUACUUUUUGCCAUUGUAUUUUUUUGGUGUGGUAGGGGCACUUUUUGCCUCAGAUAUCAUGGUUAUAAUGUCGGCAAACGAGAAAGCUUAUUUAAUAUGAAUAAUCAUUUUAUGUGUUUGUAUGUGGGCAUACAGUAGCCUACUAAUGUUAGUUGAUAUGUCCUCAAACACCAGACACAUCUUAAUAUUAUGAAGGGCGAACUUUAUUAAUGACAUAAGACUGUAUCAAAAACUGAUAUCGGUUUGUGUGGGGGGGGACCACAGUAUUUUACUUUAAAACUCCCACAAAACACUUUUAAAUGGAUAAGAACAUCAGUGAAAUAACAUUGGUUUAAAAUCAGUCUUUUAUCCAUUCAUUGGAACAGAUUUGGAGAAAUUUAGCAUUAUAAAACUUGCUCACCAGUGGAUCUUCUGCAGAGAAUGGUUGCCAUCAGAAGUCCAAACAGUUGAUAGAAACAUCACAGUAACAGAGAUGACUCCUGUCUAUCAGUUAAUAUCUUGUGAAAGCUCCACAGUGCAGAUUUCCAGCAGGACACUGGAUCUCUCCCUCCGCAGACCAGGAUCAUCACCACUGACCCAGAACCAAUGACCAGCCAUAAAGCGCAGAUCAGUCCACACAUAAACUGUCUGGGAUGUUAUAGUAUAAUUUAUCACCUCUUCCAUAAUUGUCUCAGAACUUAGACUUGCCAGAUCAGUGUACUCUUUUCUGCAAUAGUCCAGGGCUUCAUCCCACGUCUUAUUCUGAUGAACCAAAACUGGGCUGAAGACCUUCAUACAGUAAAAAGAUAGAGUCUCAGAGCAUGGAAUGUUGUGCAGUUUAGAAGUGGAUAUUUUUAACCUGCCACAAUUUUCAGAAUAAUCAUCUGGUUGUUCGCUAUCCCAGUUGUCAAUUGGUUGCCUCUCACCUCCAGACCAAAUCCAUUUUUCUGGGUUGUUAGAACUUCUG
ensembl:lncRNA